rnacentral:tRNA from 1 species
GAUAAUAGUUAAAUUAUAUAACAUUUAAGUUGCAUUUAAAAAUUAUUGUUACCAAUUUAUCUUACU